GGGGUAUUAGUAUAAUGGUAAUGCAUGUGACUUUUAAUCAUUAAAAAACGGGUUCGAAUCUCGUAUACCCUA
rnacentral:tRNA from 1 species